rnacentral:lncRNA from 1 species
ACUUGCAAAAUUUGAUAUUAUAUAUGCACUGAAAUUGAGUUGACAUUGUGAUGAAAUAAGUUGAUUCAUAUGCUUUAUAGGUUGAUUUAGUUGAACAUAGACGCUUUAUCCAUACCAUACAAAUUAUUUACCUUUAGAACAAAUUUAGAACAGUUUGGGGGUGAUUUUGCUAUUGUAGGAAGAUACGGAUAUGGGCAAGGAUUCCAUGUGUGAAAUCUUAUGUGUGGAUUGUCUUAAACUAACAGGAUAAAAUUGGGUAAAAGUCUUGAGUUGGAGGUUGAUUUGAUUGAAUAAAUGUAUGAUAAAGGACAUUGCACUAAUCAAGGCAUAUAUUUUGAAAUUAAAAACUUCUCUCUAAAGCUUUUAUGACUCGAGUAAUUAAGC